GAUAUACUCCCUCCACCUCGAAUUACUUGUCGCAAGAAUGGAUGUAUCUAGGCGUAUUUUUAGUUCUAGAUACAUCCAUCUCUACAACAAGUAAUUCGGAACGGAGGGAGUAAUAA
rfam:Hordeum vulgare subsp. vulgare, WGS project CAJW01000000 data, contig: morex_contig_300639